UUCUACUUCUAGCCAUUGGAAGAUGUAGUCAAUUUUGAAUACCUCUUAGGAGUUAGAGUGCUUCCCUUUAGCUGUGAAUUAAUGUAUGUGGAAGUUUCUCUUAUGUUGUGUUUAACAAUGUGGUCUCAAGAGGUGUACUCUAUUCAGAUGUCUGAGUAGUAUCCCGGUAUUCACAGGUGGUUCAGUACAGCGGCGGAUCCCAGGGGACCUUAUGAAACUAGGGAAUUUCAGAACUGUGAUUCUAGAUUUGUCUAAUGCCUCUGAGACGGGGGAGAAUGGGGAAGAGAGAAUGAUGUUAGAGGAAAGAAAAAAUAUACAGGGGAUUAAUGGAAAAGUCGUGUGCCAUGCAUUAGUGUGGCACGUGAUUUCGCCAGGGACUGAGAUGGAACUGGGGUGCUACUGGAAGGCAAAGGCCUCUCUGUGGGACAAGUGAGAGGAUGGAGACAGGGAGUUAACAAACCAAAAGGCAGAGCAGAAAAAAAGAAUAAAAACCCUUCCUACCUCUCUAGGGAAUGGGGGUCCUGGACUUGGGAGCUUGGAAGUGGGGUGGAAGCAGUGGUGCCACUGCCUCAGUUUCUUAGUGGCCAGGGACCAA